rnacentral:rRNA from 1 species
AUGAGUUAUUUGGAGGACAUAACUGAAUCAGAAAGAAAGCCCCAACUAGGACGGACACAACCAUCUCAAGAAGGUCCAAAGUGGAAAGCUCCUCCUCCAGGAGCUGUCAAGAUUUACGUUGAUGCUGCUAUUGGGCGCCAUGAGGAUGGAGGGGCUGCUGCUGCUGUAUGCCGGGAUGGAUCGGGGAAAUAUUUAGGGGCUUCUGCAGUUUCAGUCCAGGAUAUCACCGAACCUGAAGUUUUGGAGGCAAUGGCAACCAAUGAAGGACUAUCUCUCGCAAUGGAUCUAACAUGCAGUAAUGUAGUCAUAGCGACGGACUGUUCAGCCACAGUUAAACAUCUUAAGGAGGCUUAUUUGGGACCCUCGGCUUCUAUCAUUCAUGAGCUAAGGAGGCGGUCUCAGAUGUUUGUUUCUGUUCAAGUGGUCCAUGAAAGCAGGAGGAUGAACGUCGAAGCUCACUCACUGGCAAAGGCGACGAUUACUUUAGCUCGUGGCCGGCAUACGUGGUUACUUGAUAGGCCAGAUAUUAUUUGUAUUCCCGAAAACAUUAUGAGCUAA